ACACGUGCAGUCGAGCGAACCUUCGGGUUAGCGGCGGACGGGUUAGUAACGCGCGCAAAUAUGCCCAAAGGUAAGGAAUAGCCUCGGGAAACUGAGAGUAAUACCUUAUACGCCCUUCGGGGGAAAGAUUUAUCGGUGAAGGAUUAGCCCGCGUUGGAUUAGGUAGUUGGUGGGGUAAAAGCCUACCAAGCCGACGAUCCAUAGCUGGUUUGAGAGGAUGAUCAGCCACACUGGGACUGAGACACGGCCCAGACUCCUACGGGAGGCAGCAGUGGGGAAUCUUAGACAAUGGGGGAAACCCUGAUCCAGCCAUGCCGCGUGAGUGAUGAAGGCCUUAGGGUCGUAAAGCUCUUUCGCCAGGGAUGAUAAUGACAGUACCUGGUAAAGAAACCCCGGCUAACUCCGUGCCAGCAGCCGCGGUAAUACGGAGGGGGUUAGCGUUGUUCGGAAUUACUGGGCGUAAAGCGUACGUAGGCGGAUUAGUAAGUUAGGGGUGAAAUCCCGAGGCUCAACCUCGGAACUGCCUCUAAAACUGCUAGUCUUGAGUUCGAGAGAGGUGAGUGGAAUUCCGAGUGUAGAGGUGAAAUUCGUAGAUAUUCGGAGGAACACCAGUGGCGAAGGCGGCUCACUGGCUCGAUACUGACGCUGAGGUACGAAAGUGUGGGGAGCAAACAGGAUUAGAUACCCUGGUAGUCCACACCGUAAACGAUGAAUGCCAGUCGUCGGGUAGCAUGCUAUUCGGUGACACACCUAACGGUUUAAGCAUUCCGCCUGGGGAGUACGGUCGCAAGAUUAAAACUCAAAGGAAUUGACGGGGGCAAGCAAAAGGCUGUGGGCAUGUGGAUUACUUCGAAGCAAUGCGCAGAACCUUACCAACCCUUCACAUAAUUGUCGCGGCUCUCCAGAGAUGGAGCUUUCAGCUAGGCUGGACGAGAUACAGGUGCUGCAUGCCUGUCGUCAGCUCGUGUCGUGAGAUGUUCGGUUAAGUCCGGCAACGAGCGCAACCCACACCCUUAGUUGCCAGCAUUCAGUUGGGCACUCUAGGGGAACUGCCCGUGAUAAGCGGGAGGAAGGUGUGGAUGACGUCAAGUCCUCAUGGCCCUUACGGGUUGGGCUACACACGUGCUACAAUGGUAGUGACAAUGGGUUAAUCCCAAAAAGCUAUCUCAGUUCGGAUUGUCGUCUGCAACUCGACGGCAUGAAGUCGGAAUCGCUAGUAAUCGCGUAACAGCAUGACGCGGUGAAUACGUUCCCGGGCCUUGUACACACCGCCCGUCACACCAUGGGAGUUGGGUCUACCCGAAGGUGGUGCGCUAACCUUUCGAGGGGGCAGCGGACCACGG
rnacentral:rRNA from 1 species